CAGCCCUUGACAUGGUCGGACGGUUUCCAGAGAUGGAUUCCUUCACUUCGGUGACUGACACACAGGUGCUGCAUGGCUGUCGUCAGCUCGUGUCGUGAGAUGUUGGGUUAAGUCCCGCAACGAGCGCAACCCUCGCCUUUAGUUGCCAUCAUUUAGUUGGGCACUCUAGAGGGACUGCCGGUGAUAAGCCGGAGGAAGGUGGGGAUGACGUCAAGUCUUCAUGGCCCUUACGGGCUGGGCUACACACGUGCUACAAUGGCGGUGACAGAGGGCAGCUAGUCCGCGAGGACAUGCUAAUCCCAAAAAGCCGUCUCAGUUCGGAUUGCACUCUGCAACUCGAGUGCAUGAAGUUGGAAUUGCUAGUAAUCGUAGAUCAGCACGCUACGGUGAAUACGUUCCC
rnacentral:rRNA from 1 species